CAAAGAAUAGUUUAGUUUAGAAUCCUAACUUUGGGAGUUAGGGGUGGGAGUUAGAAUCUCCUUUCUUUGA
rnacentral:tRNA from 1 species